UACGUAGGGGGCAAGCGUUGUCCGGAUUUAUUGGGCGUAAAGAGCGUGUAGGCGGCCAGACAGGUCUGCUGUGAAAACUCGAGGCUCAACCUCGAGACGCCGGUGGAAACCGUUUGGCUAGAGUCCGGAAGAGGAGAGUGGAAUUCCUGGUGUAGCGGUGAAAUGCGCAGAUAUCAGGAGGAACACCAAUAGCGAAGGCAGCUCGCUGGGACGUUACUGACACUGAGGCGCGAAAGCGUGGGGAGCGAGCAGG
rnacentral:rRNA from 1 species